UAAGUUUCAUUUUGGAAAUGGGUGUUUGUUGGUUUGUUGAUCACUGGUAACGGAUUCAAAUUAAACUGGUUAAUUAUUAGCCAUUUGGUUUGUCUUUAUAUAACUCAAGGAUAAUCUCUCGUUAAUUAAGAUCUAUCGUAUUCUGGGAAAAACAAUGGUGUGCGUCAUGGCUAUUGUUGGGAUCAUCGAUUCACAAUCGAUUCCAUUGUUAUUCACAUUUCUCAUUGUUCAUAGAUAAGAUGAUAAAGGAAAAGAAUGGAUUUAAAAUGCCUGAUAAUUACAAAGGUUGAAUAUUAUUUCGUAUCAUUCUGUCGAUCUGGUUUUAUCCCAAUCAAUAUCCUAGGAUUGAACCAUCACGGUGUUAACAAUCUUGAUCAGUGUUCAACAAUUAAUACUAUUCAGAUUAUUAGAAUAAAAUUUUGCAAUGACUGAUCCAAAUUACAAGCCUCAUUCAAAGGUUCAAUGUCAUCAUGAUAUUACGUUCGAUUAGUGAUAUUAAAGGAGGAAGGCCAAAACUGCCUGAAAAAAGAAAUUUCUUGUGAUGAACGUAUAUGAUGUAAAACUAUAUGCUGAAUUCAUUUCGUCAAUCCAUUUUCAAAAUAAUGAUUUCGUUUUUGAGAUAUCAUGAAAUAACGUAGAAAUGCAUGGGAAAGAAUAGCAAAAUAAUCAAAGGUGAAAGCACUUUCUAGAUAACUUUUUCAGAUGUAAAAUUCAAUUCCGAUUUCAGUGGAGUGAUUCAUUUUGACCAAAACUGGCGCAAAACUGGCCAUUUUUUCGAAAAAUGUAAUACUGUCAAACCCCCGAUAAUGUCACACUCUCAAAAUGUCACAGAGUCAUGGUAACGAAAUUAAAAAAUUUAAUUUAAUUCA